GAUGAACGCUGGCGGCGUGCCUAAUACAUGCCAGUCGAACGAAACUUCUUUAUCACCGAGUGCUUGCACUCACCGAUAAAGAGUUGAGUGGCGAACGGGUGAGUAACACGUGGGCAACCUGCCCAAAAGAGGGGGAUAACACUUGGAAACAGGUGCUAAUACCGCAUAACCAUAGUUACCGCAUGGUAACUAUGUAAAAGGUGGCUAUACUACCGCUUUUGGAUGGGCCCGCGGCGCAUUAGCUAGUUGGUAGGGUAAAGGCUUACCAAGGCAAUGAUGCGUAGCCGAAUUGAGAGGUUGAUCGGCCACAUUGGGACUGAGACACGGCCCAAACUCCUACGGGAGGCAGCAGUAGGGAAUCUUCCACAAUGGGCGAAAGCCUGAUGGAGCAACGCCGCGUGGGUGAAGAAGGUCUUCGGAUCGUAAAACCCCGUUGUUAGAGAAGAAAGUGCGUGAGAGUAACUGUUCACGUUUCGACGGUAUCUAACCAGAAAGCCACGGCUAACUACGUG
rnacentral:rRNA from 1 species